GGAGGGAUGGCCGAGCGGUCUAAGGCGACUGUCUUGAAAACAGUUGUGGCGCAAGCCACCGGGGGUUCGAAUCCCUCUCCCUCCG
rnacentral:tRNA from 1 species